rnacentral:rRNA from 1 species
AGAGUUUGAUCCUGGCUCAGGAUGAACGCUAGCGGCAGGCCUAACACAUGCAAGUCGAGGGGUAACAGGGAGUGCUUGCACUCCGCUGACGACCGGCGCACGGGGGCGCACCGCGUAUGGAACCUACCUUUUGCAGGGGAAUAGCCCAGGGAAACUUGGAUUAAUGCCCCGUAGUAUCACGAUCCCACAUGGGAUUUUGAUGAGCCUUCGGGCGGCAAGAGAUGGCCAUGCGUCCCAUUAGUUUGAUGGUAAGGUAACGGCUUACCAUGACUACGAUAGGUAGGGGGCCUGAGAGGGUGAUCCCCCACACUGGUACUGAGACACGGACCAGACUCCUACGGGAGGCAGCAGUGAGGAAUAUUGGACAAUGGGCGAGAGCCUGAUCCAGCCAUGCCGCGUGCAGGAAGACGGUCCUAUGGAUUGUAAACUGCUUUUAUACAGGAAGAAACCACUCUACGUGUAGAGCGCUGAAGGUACCAAACGAAUAAGCACCGGCUAACUCCGUGCCAGCAGCCGCGGUAAUACGGAGGGUGCAAGCGUUAUCCGGAAUCAUUGGGUUUAAAGGGUCCGCAGGCGGACUAAUAAGUCAGUGGUGAAAUCCUCCCGCUCAACGGGAGAACUGCCUUUGAUACUGGUAGUCUUGAGUUAUAUGGAAGUAGAUAGAAUGUGUAGUGUAGCGGUGAAAUGCAUAGAUAUUACACAGAAUACCGAUUGCGAAGGCAGAUCACUAAUAAUGUACUGACACUGAUGGACGAAAGCGUGGGUAGCGAACAGGAUUAGAUACCCUGGUAGUCCACGCCGUAAACGAUGGAUACUAGCUGUUCGAACUUCGGGGAUGAUUUCAGUGACUAAGCGAAAGUGAUAUAAGUCCCACCUGGGGAGUACGAUCGCAAGAUUGAAACUCAAAGGAAUUGACGGGGGCCCGCACAAGCGGCGGAGCAUGUGGUUUAAUUCGAUGAUACGCGAGGAACCUUACCAGGGCUUAAAUGUAAGUUGCAUAGAUCAGAGACGGUCUUUUCUUCGGACUACUUACAAGGUGCUGCAUGGUUGUCGUCAGCUCGUGCCGUGAGGUGUCAGGUUAAGUCCUAUAACGAGCGCAACCCUUGUCGUUAGUUGACAGCAUUUAAAUAUGGCGACUCUAACGAGGCUGCCGGUGCAAACCGAGAGGAAGGUGGGGAUGACGUCAAAUCAUCACGGCCCUUACGUCCUGGGCCACACACGUGCUACAAUGGUAGGUACAGAGAGACGCCACUUGGUGACAAGGAGCAAAUCUUAAAAGCCUAUCUCAGUUCGGAUUGGAGUCUGCAACUCGACUCCAUGAAGCUGGAAUCGCUAGUAAUCGCAUAUCAGCCAUGAUGCGGUGAAUACGUUCCCGGGCCUUGUACACACCGCCCGUCAAGCCAUGGAAGCUGGGGUUACCUGAAGUCAGUAACCGUAAGGAGCUGCCUAGGGUAAAACUGGUGACUGGGGCUAAGUCGUAACAAGGUAGCCGUACCGGAAGGUGCGGCUG